ensembl:rRNA 5S_rRNA 5S ribosomal RNA
UACUAAGGCGAUAUUUUACAUUCUUUUAUUUGUACUAAGUCUUUAAUAUCCAGAGUAUAGGAAGCUAAGCAGGGUCGGGCUUGGUUAGUACUUGGAUGGGAGACCACCUAGGAAGACCAAGUGCUGUAGGCA